GUCCCAGAAAUUUCUUCUCUUCUCUCCACCUAGCAUCUCUUCGUGCACCGUUUCCGCCGUCCUCCCCGCCUGGUCGCCUGAGCUUCUCCCUGCCAGAUUUCCCUGACCCACACUUUCUAGCGCCGUCGGCCUAGCUUCCCUCGCCAUGGCCAGGUGGUCAUCAGUGCACGCUCGGCCGGUUGUCCCCAUGAGCAGCUUGGACCGACGACAUGUGAUGUAUAUAGGAGCAGCCGAGCAGGUGGGGAUGUUGCUGGGUAAGGAGGAGGCGGGUUGAGGUGCACGCACUAGAUCGGUGGCUUGGGAGGUGCGAGGCCGUGGGGAUCGAGGAGUGGCGGUCGCCGGAUGGCUGGCCCGAAAGUUUCCCCACCCGAUCCCUUCCUCCCCCUCCCCUGGCAUGGGCUCCCUCUGGAUGGCGGCCCUGACGUGGGUCUCUGGCUUCCUCGGCGCGGCCACGGCCUCGCAUGGAAGACGGCCCCGGCUCCGAUGGCUGGUCGACUAGCACUGGUGCCUGUUCCGUUUCUUGGAGGUGAAAGGGGAAGUAGCUAGAUGUUGCAGCUCUGUCUUCUCCUCUCUCUCCCUUCUCCCAGUCCUCUAAUCCUCUUCUUUUUGCAGCGACCAACACUAGGACCCGAGGAUCCGGCGCCUUGAUAGAGCAGGAUGAUGGACGCGAACAAACCAGCACCAUGGCCAUGUCUGCCUAACCUCUCCCUCUCUCUCAGCCGGUGGAGGCAACAUGGAGGUAGCUGCACAUGAGGAGCUCGACCUCAGUAAGGGGCGGAGCUACGCCCCUGGCAACCAUGGCCAUGGCCCGAGACGCAUCAAAUUUUCCGGCCACCUACGCAUUGAAUUUUGGAAUUGGCUCCGGGUACUGUCCAAUACUUGCCUGUCCGUUCUGACCCGAUACAACCCAAAUUAGUUGGAAACGAGAUCCACAUCGAGCGUGAAGGAGGUUCCGUCCCCUUGGUCUCUGCGGCUGGACGCGUGCGCCGCAACGUGCCUCCCCAUUCCAUCGUCCCCGGCCGGCCAGCUUGCCGCCUAGGAUUUAGAAGUGUGUCAAUUCAACCUCGACCAGAUUCCAUGGGUGAUCACCCCCAAGCGAGGUGCUCCUCCUCAACACCGUAAGAAACAGGUACACAUGCAACUUGGAAACAAAAAUAUCGACAACAUUGCCUAUCUCUGUGUUUACUGUGUGAUCAUGAUCAUUUUCUUAGUAUGCUUGAAAAUAAGGCUGUCCUUUUCAUCUUAUUUUGUUUUGCAAAGUGGUUCAGGUGCAGCUCAAUGGGUGUCUGCUCCGUUGUGCCACGCUGUGGGGAUACAUGGGACCGGUGGUCUAUGGUUGCUCACGCUCGACGACGACUACAAAGACGUCGACGGUGCGGUGCCAUGCCAUGGGAAGACUGGGCGGGCGACAUGCGGCCAGAGGGAGGGUGUGGUCGAGCUUGCGCUCGACUGUAGAGGAUGCUAUAAACGGAUUUUACAGUAGCAUGGAGUUUUUUACCUGCUCAUAUAUGAGUGGGCCGAUGCAGAAUGGAAGGGCAGGGCAGGGGUGGGAUCUAUAUGGUUACCAAACCAAACAAAAACAAAAGUCAACCGGGAAUUAGAUAAACAUUGGAGUUGGACGGUGAAUGAUAAAACUAUGCACAUGUAGUCUCCUCUAGCAGACGCUGCAUCUUUCUUGUGUUCAGUACGUCCUAUCUACUGCAUAUUUGAUAAUUGAGUGUACCUAUUAGCAUCAGAUAUGUAAUUUAGUCGCUCAGUUUUUGACAGAAAGUACCUGUGAUUUUUGAA